AUUAAAGUGGCAGAAAAAUUGCAAGGAAUUUAAGCUUCCUUUAUGAAUUAAAUCCUUUAAUA
rnacentral:tRNA from 1 species